AAAAUGCAAAUUGCAACAACAGCAACAUCUUUGUUGCGGUUGUUCUCCGAUGUGAUACAUUUGGCCAAUCAUAACCAUAUGAUCAUUACCAUUGAUCACAACACAUCGUGCCGUAAAUCAUCGAGGAAAUAUUUGAAAAUUGUUGCAAUUAAAUUAUAAAUGUGAUGGCGCUGCAAUUACUAGAUGCAUUAUUGCUCACACAUGGACAAAGGAAAAUAUGGUUACUUUCUUGGCUUUUUAUGUACAUGAUAUAUUUUGUUAUCGACGUUCUUCAUUCAGAGCAGACAGUUCAUUCAAACGUGUGUUUUGUGAGCAAAAAUAGCACAUGUCACUGUAAUAUUAAAAAUAAUCGUUACGAAGAAUUAGUUAAGAAUUUGACGACAGAAGAAUGUCGCAGUAAUUUGUCAAAAAGCUACGAAGUAUUUUGUGAAGUAAUGUCACAAUUUGAUUGCAGUCGCCGUUACUCGGUUAAAUGGAACUGUUCUGAUUGUUUUGAAGCAUACAUUGAUUGGUUGGUUGAGGUUUUUACACAAAAUGGGACCAAUCAUUUAAAAACUAAAUGUGAAAAAGUUCUAGCAAGGUGUCCAUAUUUUCUGCCAAAAGAUAGUUAUGGAGAUGCUCCAGCAUUUGAUUGCCCACAAUAAGAAGAAGAUUACAACUCCUGGUCUUGCCAAGAUUAUGGAUGAAAAUUGUAGAAUGGAUGAUUACAAUAACAUGUUUGCACUGUCUGUAUAACAGAUUUUUUUAAUUUGGUUCUUUUCUUAACAAGGUUCCCGGUGCUUUUGAAGCAAUAUUAAAGUAUGUUGUAUAAACUGUACAACAAUGUAUCAUUUUUUGCAGCAACAAUGGUGGUUAACAGAGAGUCCCUCAAUGUGGCAAUAUUAGAAAUAUAUGGCCACAUUUCGUGUAAAUUGUAUUUUAUGGUUGUAUUACAUCUGCCUUAUUAAAAAACUCAUUUACUAAUGUCAA